rnacentral:rRNA from 1 species
UACGAAGGGGGCUAGCGUUGCUCGGAAUCACUGGGCGUAAAGGGCACGUAGGCGGCCAUUCAAGUCAGAGGUGAAAGCCCAGGGCUUAACCCUGGAAUUGCCUUUGAUACUGUUUGGCUUGAGACCGGAAGAGGUAAGUGGAACUGCGAGUGUAGAGGUGAAAUUCGUAGAUAUUCGCAAGAACACCAGUGGCGAAGGCGGCUUACUGGUCCGGUUCUGACGCUGAGGCGCGAAAGCGUGGGGAGCAAACAGG